rnacentral:rRNA from 1 species
UACAGAGGUCUCAAGCGUUGUUCGGAUUCAUUGGGCGUAAAGGGUGCGUAGGUGGCGCCGUAAGUCGGGUGUGAAAUUUCGGAGCUUAACUGCGAAACUGCAUUCGAUACUGCGGUGCUUGAGGACUGGAGAGGAGACUGGAAUUCAUGGUGUAGCAGUGAAAUGCGUAGAGAUCAUGAGGAAGACCAGUGGCGAAGGCGGGUCUCUGGACAGUUCCUGACGCUGAGGCACGAAGGUCAGGGGAGCAAACGGG